rnacentral:lncRNA from 1 species
GAAUAAAAUGGCUAAGGCUCAACGGGGUUUACGAAGGGAAGCAUACAUAUAGGGAUGGCUAGAAAGGCCCUGGCUAAACAAACAACUUGCCUCAGUGUGUGUUGUCAUGCUGUGACGUGUCAACAGAACAUACGCAAAAUCAGAGUGAUAAAGUCAUACCUGGCUGAACUCUCAUGUUGAUAUUUCGUGUUUGGCUUUUUGUGAUCUCACCAUGUUGGUUAGCUUGCAAGCUCUGAAGUCUCUUCGU